GUUAGGGACUCAGGUGGGGGGCCAGGAAGCUAUGGAGAAACCAGCUCAUUGAAAUCCAGAUAAUCCCUAAACCUCAUUUUCCCUAUUGCAUAUGACUGCCUUUCUGCCCUGCCCCCUUUUACAGGAUCGCCAAGAAGCCACCAGACCGCUUUGCCUGGCACUCCUUUUAUCUUUCUGGCCUGAGGGGGCCAUGGGCUAAUGAUCAGUGAAAUCAGGAAAGGCCAAGAGGCCCAGCUAAUCCACAAAUUGGAUCAUCCACCCCUGAAUAAUCAAGAGUUGCUGGCACAAAAGUUGGUUUCUCUCUUUGAUCAUCAGCACACUCAAAACACACCUACAUUUGCUUCUUGUGGGAGCCCUCUGGAUCUCAGUGGUGAGACUGAAAUGGGGUCCCCCUGGAGGCAAGACAGCAGACAAAGAGGAUGGCCAAAGCAGGGGCUUGAUCAACACAUGAUUCAGGCAAGGGCACUAAUCAUCGAGUGCCAAGACAUUCCCUGGAAGAGUAUUAUAUUCAUUCCUGCCAAAGAUCAACCUUCUGGGCUUGUCUACCAUCUUCCUGAAGGUCCACAAUCUUAAAAAAAAAAAAAAAAGAAAAGAAAAAAAAGAUGAAAUGGUGGCAUUUAAAGAAACCAUUUAUUUAAAUGGAAGUGUGCAGAAAGAUCUUGGCAACAGGCAAAUCUGCAGGGACUGGAUGUGGCCUGAACAGCUUACAGAAGGAAAAGAGAAACAUUUCUCAACAAAGGCAGCAAAUGGGGAGGUGGUCCCCGUACCGCUGGCCAGCUGCUGCUUCUGCUGAAUUUCUUCAUUCAUUCAAUGAAUAUUUUAUUGUGUAACUUUUCUGUACCAGACAUUAAUGAUACUUCAGGGAGCACCUCAGAAAUGGUACCUGCCUCUAUUGUCCUUCCCUUUUCCCAGAUGUAUUUGUUAGACUCCCAAGGUUGCACAGCGAGAAAUUUUGUUACUGUUCAUAGAACCUUUUACAACUUACUAACUGCUGAUAAACUGC
rnacentral:lncRNA from 1 species